GUAAAUAAAGGACGUGUGUAAGUAAAGGUCUCUAGAAGUUCUGAAGGAGAGGAUACCUUCAGGGUAACUGGGAAAGUCUUUGUAGAGGAGGGGACGUUGAAGGAUAGAUAGGGUUUUGAUAGGUAGGUAUAGAUGGAGGAACAUUCCAGAAAGAAGAAAAUAGCUCAAAGAUGCCAUGGCAGAAAAUACAAGCCUGUUUGGGAAUGGCAGGGGAUUCAGUAUAGCUGGAGAUUAAAUGGGUAUGUGGAUAGAGUCUGGGUUACGAGACGCCCUGACUGCCAUGCUAACAUCUUAUUUGGUAUGCAAGUAAACUCAAUAACUCACUAAGUACGAAUGCCCAUCUCCUGAAACUUUGCUUCCUAAGGUUUAAAUUUUCACCAACAAAAUUUUUCUAGAAGUAGAGCACAACUGGACUACAUUGCUAAGCCAAGUCUUGGUGUUUCAAAGGCAGGGCAUGGCCAGCUUCACCAAAGCCGAGGCCGCUCAUGUGUUUAAUGUGUUCCAGAGUUCCAGAGCACUUUGGGAUUUUGCAAUGUUUUGUGUGGUCAUUGCUGUUUUUGUUUUUGCUUUAAAUUUAUCCAUCCUUAUCUCUGUGAUUACUUUACAGGGUAAAUGUGGCAAAUUUUGUUUUCCAUAAAUGACCAAAUCAAGAUCUCCCAUCUCACAGUCUUCUUACCCUGUUUCUGACACUCCUCCUGCUGAGAGGUGGGCUCUACUUUCACCUCAGACUGGCUUGUGACUGCGGUGGAAGUGACACCAGCCUUCCGGGUACAACAAAAUCUCUCUUGGAGCUGGAGGAAACUGCUGCUCUGGUGGUGGAACUCAGGCUCCUCCAUUAUUUUGCUGGACAAUUUUGCUAAGUUUAGACAGGUGAUGAGUAGAUAAAAAGAAGCAUAUAUCAGAGGUUAGAAUUAAUCAACCAAUAGCACAUGAAGAGGAGUGGGAAGUGACACAGAAGAUUCAAGGAACAUGAAAAUACAGACCCUGGCCUCAAGAAGAGUACUGGAGACAAGACACACCCAGAAGGCUCAGAAACAGGAGAAAGGGCAACAGGCAAGCUCGGGGAGUACUGAGAAGGGAAGGACCACAUAGGUGAUGGAGGAAGGCAUCCCUGACAACUGGGCUCGGCUCAAUAAGUGAGGACUUCUCUUGGACAUUUCCAGGGGGAGAAAUUGCUUCAGACGUUUCACUCGAGAGCACCUACCGCAUUCUUUUUAGUAGUGUCAAAUCUUAGCUUGGAAAAAAUGCCAUGUUUUAACCAAAUGAGGAGCAAAAGCGGUUUGGUCUUGCCCCCAUGACGCUGGUAGUCUCUAGCUGAUGGAAUCUAAGACUCUGGUGCAUUCGGCUGAAAACAUGCAGAAAAAGCAGCAGAAGCACAAACUCAGAGGGUAUUUGACCAUUCUGACAGUACCAGCAAUGAUAACAAUAUUAGAUUCCUCAAGGAUCUAGAACUUGAAAUACUAUUUGACCCAGCAAUCCCAUUACUGGGUAUAUACCCAAAGGAAUAUAAAUCAUUCUGUUAUAAAGAUACACACACACAUAUGUUUAUUGCAGCACUAUUCACAAUGGCAAAGAAAUGGAAUCAACCGCAAACGCCUAUCAAUGAUAGAAUGGAUAAAGAAAAUGAGGUACAUAUACACCAUGGACUACUAUGUAGCCAUAAAAAAGGAGUGAUACCAUGUUCUUUGCAGGCACAUGGAAGGAGCUGGAAGCCAUUAUCCUUGGCAAACUAAUGCAGGAACAGAAAACCAAACACCACAUGUUCUCAUUCAUAAGUGGGAGCUGAACAAUCAGAACACAUGGACACAGGGAGGGGAACUACACACGCCAGGGCCUGUCGGGGUGGGGGUUCGGGGGAGGGAAAGCAUCAGGAUAAAGAGCUAAUGCAUACGGGGCUUAAUACCUGAGUGAUGGGUUGAUAGGAGCCACAAACCACCACGGUUCACGUUGACCUAUGUAACAAAUCUGCACAUCCUGCACACAUAUCCCAAAACUUAAAAUAAAUAAUUAAAUUAAAUUAAAAAAAGAACACUCCACAGAGUGCUUUUAACUGUAAAAAAUUUUAUGUUUUUGUGUUUCACCAUUGAGAGUAUAUGCUAUAUUACGAUUCCAACUACAAUUUUCAUUUAAAGGUGCGGAAACCGAACUUGAUUGAUCUCAGUCACACAGCUAAGUUUUGGGUCUUCAAGAGUGGAGUUUAGAUCUACUAAUGUUUUCUUGGUUGAAUUAUCACAAAAUCUUCAUGUUGAUCAUAACAAUAAUAAUAGCAUAAGAGUAUCUAUGGUGCCCCUACUAUUUUUUGACACUGUGCCAAACCCUUGAUAUGUGUUGUUUCUCACAAUUAUCUCUUAAGGUGAGGCUUCUCAGUCCCACUUAUAGUUGAAGAAACUCAGACCCUCAGAAGUCAAGGCAUUUAUUCCAGGUCCUGUUGCUAAUAAGUUGAGAUCUUACUAAAGGUCUAUCUAACUUCAUGGAUCAAGUUCUUUUCUCUAUGCCCCAUCCUUGUUAGUUAAUGGGGUUUGAGUGGAUAUGAUUUUACUUUGAUCUUUAAUGAAUAUUGACCUCUCUGAUAAACAAGUGAAGAUUUUUCUAAAAUAAUACCCAGUUACUCCAGAAAGAUGCCUUUGAAAAUAGGAAUUAGCCGUGCAUGGGGGUGCACACCUAUAAUCCCAGCUACUCAGGAGGUUGAAGAAGGAGAGUCGCUUGAACCUGGGAGGUGGCGGUUGCAGUGAGCCAAGAUCGUACCACUGCAUACCAGCCUGGGUGACAGAGUGAGACACUGCCUCAAAAAAAAAAAAAAAAAAAAAAAGAAUAGAAAAAAGAAAAAGAAAAGAAAACAGGGCUUAGCAUUGUUGAUACAAAUGAGCCAAAGUGUAGAUUUUUCAGAGAUUGGCUGAGGCGUAGGACAAACAAAAUCGAUCUUUCCCUUCCACUUGGUCACAGUAAGACUGUGUAUGUGUUCCGGAGGACUUAGGUCUUGAAGGUCUGUGCUAGACGAGGUCAACCUUUGUUCUGACCUUGAGAUGAGAUGAGCCUUCAGGCUGAGCCCAAAUGAGGAAGCCGUUGCUCCUCGUAAUUCUGCAGGAUGUUUGUUUUUACAGUUCUCCACAGGAUCAUCUGAAACACCAAGCUCUCUGCUGUACAUCCUUUUAACCAGGGGCUUUCAAUGUGGAUAGUGUUGAAUAUGACACUCCCUGCCCUUCAGAGCAAGAUCAGAUUGCAAAUGGUGGGAGACAAGUUGUGAAUUAGUCUUUUAUGUGGAACACAGUUCAUAAGUCUGGACCUCAACCUUGUCCCCAUUUUAAAGGAUGUAUUGAGCACAAUGACUUGCCUAUAUGUGAAAAUCACCCUCGGUUCCUGCCAUAGUGGUUUUUCACAUUGCCUUUGUGACCCUAAACGCCUUUGAAGAUCAUGGGUUUGAUAAAUAAACAAGAUAUAACAACUUUUGAGAAGUAGAAUUUUCUCAGAGCAUCCCAAGUCAAGUUUAAAGUUUUUAAGAGGAUGCUACACUAACUCUCUGUAAGUAUAUGGAAGCAUUGUGUUACGAAUGCAGCUGGCCAUUUAUUAAUGUUUGGUAUUAGCUAAUUGGAAAACACCUAAGUUAUAACUAGUCACCCCCGCAGUUCAGGGUUGAUUAAACAACCCAUGACACUUUUUCCCUCUAGCCUGCCUUAGGAAUAAUUAUAAUGACUUGCCCAUUGUCUUGAGUUAAUUAGUCCUCAUUUUCUUCUAGUGUUCCUCUAGGCAAAUGUCCUAAAAUAUCUCACCAUGUUGCACUAUUCUUCUCUUAUAUUUCACAAUGGACACAUAUAACCAGGAACGUUUAAGCAUUAGUUGGUUUGGUUUGGUUCUUUCAAAGGCAUAGAUAAAUCAUCACGCUACAUGAUGAUAGAGGAAAUGACAGUUUUUAUCUUUUAUUCAGGUAGCCUAAAUUUACAUGAGACCACAAAAAGUUCCUGACAGGAUGUUAUUGAUUGCGUUUACCCAGUUGGGGCUUGAGAUGGGUCUUCCUGCCACAUUGCAGGGCACCCUCUUCUUUUCAUUCCAGCCUGCAGAUCAAAUCCCAGAUCUUCCAAUUCUCACGAAUUUUCAGAAUAGAGAUUUCAGGCCCCUUGGCAGACUUCCUAUUAUUCUUAAUUCAGCUUCCUUCUCUCUGUGCCAAUCAGUAACAAUAUCCUCUCUUGUUGGAUGCUAUGAAUGACAGCCCCAUGGAACUAAGUGAAGGGCAAAUAUUCAUUGUAAUAACUAAGUCAUUGAGUACCAGACCUUCUUAUAAAUUAUUUGUAUAUUAGUUCAUUUAAUCAUCACUGCAACUUUAUGAGGGAGGGACUAUUUUUAUCCUUAUUUUACAGGUGAGGAACCUGAAACACACUUACCUAGUGCAAAGGCCUGCCUUCCCUCCUCCCUUUCUUCCUCCUUUCCUCCUUCCUGCCAACCAUCCUUCUUCCAUCCAACCAAUUCCCUCCCUCCCUCCCUCCCUUCCUUCCUCCCUUCCUCUUUCUUUUUCUUUCCUCUCUCUCCCUCCCUCUGUUUCUCCCUUUUCCCUCCUUCUCUCCUCUCUCGCUUCCUCCCUCCCUUCCUUCCCUAUUUUCCUCCUUCCUUCUCUCCUUUCUUCCAUACUUCCAUUCUUCCUUUCUUCCCCUCCUCCCUCCUUCCUUCUCUCCUGCUUCCCUUCUUCCUGUCUCCCUUCCUUCCUUCCUUCCUUCCUUCCUUCCUUCCUUCCUUCCAUCCAAGCCAAAGUUGAGCACUUGGUGUAUACUGAGCAGUAUUGUGGGCACUGAAGAUGGCAAUGAACAAAACAAAGUCCCUGCCUCCAUGGAGCUUAACCACUGUUCUAUAGUGCCCCAAAUUACACAUCUCCCCUAAGGAGCUCUCCCAGAUUAAUUCCACCCAGUUUCUAACCUACCUGGAUAAUCUCAACUCUUCUUCCAUUUCACAAUACUCUUAAGUAGUUUAAAAAUCCAGCGUUUCAUAAUUUAGCUAAUGUGCCUGCUUUGAAACUUGUAGGUGCCAAUAGACAAUGUACCUUAGGCACCUUGGUGCACAGUCUUAGCUUCUGGGGAUGAUCACAAAAUUCAAUAUAACUGCUAUUUUCUAGACUGUCUAUGUUACAAUGAGAGAGAGAGAUACCUGGGAAAAUGAUUGGACCCAUUUCCAAAAGAGAUUUUAUUAUAUUGUAUCUGAUGAAAACAUUAAAAAAAGUUUAGUUUUCAUCAAAAAUGGUCAUGAAGCCAAUUUAUAAUUUCCUGAAUGAAGUUUGCAAUUUAGGAGUGGAGCAUUUAACCCCAAAAGCCAUGGACCAUGCUAGCUUUGGACAUCAGCCUAAACUUUAUUAAAACAUUCAAUCCUAGGGAAAUUUCUAGAUAUUUUUGCUGCAAUCAAUUAAGUUCAUUAUUUUCUCUUUAACUUUCCUUUGUUGUAAUUCCCCUCCUGUCAGGUGUUACAGGGGCAGCCAUAGAUUUGUUUGUUGUUUUGAUCUGACUUAGAGAAAGUGCAAUGGGGGAUAGACUUGUAUGGAUUAAAAGGGACACAUUUAUAUGGCUUUCAGUCACUUCUAUGUUAUUGCAAGUUAUCCUGGCAUAAGUAUGUGUAUUAAUCCAUUCUCACACUCCCAUAAAGUACUAUGUAUAAGGGAAAGAGGUUUCAUUGAUUCUCUGUUCCUCAUGAUUGGGGAGACCUCAGGAAACUUACAGUCAUGGUAGCAGGCAAGAGAGAACAAAUGAGCGAACAGGGAAGAGCCCCUGAUAAAACCAUCAGAUUCAUGAGAAUUCACUCACUAUCAUGCAAACAGCAUGGGAGAAACCACCCCCAUGAUCCAAUCACCUCCCACCAGAUCCUGCCCUUGAUACAUGUGGAUUAUAAGGAUUACAAUUUGAGAUGAGAUUUGGGUGGGGGCACAGAGCCAAACCAUAUCAGUAUGUCUUCCAGGAACAUUUCUAUUUUCCACUGUGCCAACUCACUUGGCAUCACAACACAAGGAUUUAGGGCAGAGGUUCUGUCUUAAUAUUGGUGUAUCUGAUGGUCUCCAGCACUGGAAGUACAUAAAUUGAAGAGGAGAAACAAGGAUUGAAAUAUACAGAGUUGAAAGCUAGUCUGUGUACAAUGUUUCCAAAUAUUACAGCUCUUAUAUGGCAGAAACUUGACUGAG
rnacentral:lncRNA from 10 species